rnacentral:rRNA from 1 species
GUAGUCUGCAACCCGACUACAUGAAGCUGGAAUCGCUAGUAAUCGCGGAUCAGAAUGCCGCGGUGAAUACGUUCCCGGGUCUUGUACACACCGCCCGUCACACCAUGGGAGUCGGAAAUGCCCGAAGUCAGUGGCCCAACCGGAAGGGGGGAGCUGCCGAAGGCAGGUUCGAUGACUGGGGUGAAGUCGUAACAAGGUACC